rnacentral:rRNA from 1 species
GUGUCAGCCGCCGCGGUAAUACGUAGGUGGCGAGCGUUGUCCGGAUUUAUUGGGCGUAAAGCGCGCGCAGGCGGUUUGCCAUGUCCGGUGUGAAAUCUCCCGGCUCACCUGGGAGGGGGCGCUGGAGACGGGCAGACUGGAGGCAGGCAGAGGUCGGUGGAAUUCCCGGUGUAGUGGUGAAAUGCGUAGAGAUCGGGAGGAACACCAGUGGCGAAAGCGGCCGACUGGGCCUGUCCUGACGCUGAGGCGCGAAAGCGUGGGGAGCGAACCGGAUUAGAAACCCGCGUAGUCC